UACGAAGGGGGCUAGCGUUGCUCGGAAUCACUGGGCGUAAAGCGCACGUAGGCGGGUCGUUAAGUCAGGGGUGAAAUCCUGGAGCUCAACUCCAGAACUGCCCUUGAUACUGAGAGGCUUGAGUCCGGGAGAGGUGAGUGGAACUGCGAGUGUAGAGGUGAAAUUCGUAGAUAUUCGCAAGAACACCAGUGGCGAAGGCGGCUCACUGGCCCGGUACUGACGCUGAGGUGCGACAGCGUGGGGAGCAAACAGG
rnacentral:rRNA from 1 species